UUUCCGUAGGUGAACCUGCGGAAGGAUCAUUAAAAAAUGUGGUACCGAUUGUUGGUACUAAUUAAUCAUCCUACCCUUUGUGAAUUUGUCUGUAACGAAUUUUUUUAAAUGGGUCUUUCCCUAAGUUGGAUUGUAGUAAAAUACAAAAAGACUUAGGGGAAUGACUUUUUUAAAAGACUUUUUUUUAAUUAAAACUUUUUGUAUUCAUUUGUCUAAAAUUUAUUUUUAUAAUAUAAAAACAACUUUUGACAAUGGAUCUCUUGGUUCUCGCAACGAUGAAGAACGCAGCAAAAUGCGAUAAGUAGUGUGAAUUGCAGAAUACGUGAAUCAUCGAAUCUUCGAACGCAUAUUGCACUUUUUUAGUUUACUAAAAAAGUAUGUCUGUUUGAGUAUCAGUAAAAUAUUCUCACAAACAUAUAUUGUUUGUGGUUAUGAGUGUUUUACAACGAUAAACAAGUUGUUUCACUUUAAAUUCUUUUUUAAUUGAUUUUUACCAAUUCAUAAAUUAAAAUUGGAUAAAAUUUUCCUUUAACGAGGAAUAACCUAAACAAUUUUAAAUUUUAUGGAUUAAUAAACAUUCAUCAAAGGAAUCUAAUUAUACAUAAAUAACUUGAUCUCAAAUCAGAUAAGAGUACCCGCUGAACUUAAGCAUAUCAAUAAGCGGAGGAAAGAAACUAACAAGGAUUCCCUUAGUAACGGCGAGUGAAGCGGGAAGAGCUCAAAUUUGAAAUCUUCAAGGUUUGACCUUGACGAAUUGUAGUUUAUAGAAGUGUUUUCUGUUGGAGUUUUGGUAAAAGUUCUUUGGAUAGGACAUCAUAGAGGGUGAGAAUCCCGUAUUGACCAUGACUUUCCAGCUGUGUGAUACACUUUCAAAGAGUCGGAUUGUUUGGGAAUGCAGUCCAAAAUGGGUGGUAAAUUUCAUCUAAAGCUAAAUAUUGGCGAGAGACCGAUAGCGAACAAGUACCGUGAGGGAAAGAUGAAAAGAACUUUGAAAAGAGAGUUAAACAGUACGUGAAAUUGUCAAAAGGGAAGCGUUUGACACCAGUGUUGUUUUCUCGAAAAUCAAUUUAAUGAGUUCUUGUUUUUAAGUUAUUGUGACUUUAUCAGCGCAUUUCUUAUUUUACUUGACUCAUUGAAUGCACUUUUCGUUUAACAAGUCGACAUCAAUUUCUUUGGUGGUAAAAAGUUUAAAGGAAGGUGGCUUGGACUUCGGUUCAAGUGUUUAUAGCCUUUUUUCUAUGCCAUCGGAGAGAUUGAGGUCUGCAGCGUAGAUCCUUCGGGGUUAGAUACCUUUGUGCUAAGUUAUAGUUUUUUAUAGACAACUUGUUGACUAUAAUUAACCCUGUAAUUUACUCGCUUAGGCUAUUU
rnacentral:misc_RNA from 1 species